GAUGAACGCUGGCGGCGUGCCUAAUACAUGCAAGUCGAACGGUAACAGGAAACAGCUUGCUGUUUCGCUGACGAGUGGCGGACGGGUGAGUAAUGUCUGGGAAACUGCCUGAUGGAGGGGGAUAACUACUGGAAACGGUAGCUAAUACCGCAUAACGUCGCAAGACCAAAGAGGGGGACCUUCGGGCCUCUUGCCAUCGGAUGUGCCCAGAUGGGAUUAGCUAGUAGGUGGGGUAACGGCUCACCUAGGCGACGAUCCCUAGCUGGUCUGAGAGGAUGACCAGCCACACUGGAACUGAGACACGGUCCAGACUCCUACGGGAGGCAGCAGUGGGGAAUAUUGCACAAUGGGCGCAAGCCUGAUGCAGCCAUGCCGCGUGUAUGAAGAAGGCCUUCGGGUUGUAAAGUACUUUCAGCGGGGAGGAAGGGAGUAAAGUUAAUACCUUUACUCAUUGACGUUACCCGCAGAAGAAGCACCGGCUAACUCCGUG
rnacentral:rRNA from 1 species